rnacentral:ncRNA from 3 species
AAAGUUACCACAGGGAUAAC